UCAAAGUUUUAUGUAUAAAUAUGCAAUCUUUUCAGUGAUCUAGUCAUCCAUGAUUAAGUGCGCUAGGCGCACGUAACGCGUUGGAGACUACAGGAGUGGAAGCGCCAACAUCCUUCAGUGCUAUUGCACCCGUUUGCCGCCUGCCGAAGUGAUGUCAUCAUCCGGAGCCUGCGGCCGCUGGACGCGGCGUCUGCACCACGUGCAGCGGGAGCUGAAUACACCAACAAGCCCUGGACUGCUCACCGGACUCGCCAACAGAUCCUCUUAGAGAUAAAAGUGAGAGUGUCAGUAGGAUCUCAGUAUACUGAUUGCUGUUAAUCCAGAUUUAUCAGCCAUGUGCUGAGAGCCAUCUACUGGGUGUAGCAGUGGGGAGAAGUGAGGAGCCCUGGGACGAAAAGGCAGCAUGGAGGAGGAGCAGCAGAGAGUGUGUGUGCACUGCAGGCGGGGAGAACGCGACGUGCGGGCUGGCUGAUGCGGAAGUGCAGCGCUGACCGGAGAGCAUAGGGAUUAGCACAAACAGAUGCUUGGAGCUUGUGAGCAAGCCAAGUAAAGCUGUCCAUGGGAGAAGCAGCUGGUCCUGGGAUCUAUGCCUGCAGCCCUGAGCGUUUUGUCCCUGUGACUUGUUUAUCAUCAUAGUGAAGCAGACCCUUACAGGAAACUGCAGGAGCUUGAACUGAAAAGGAAAAGUAUUGUGUAUAAGAGGUAUAGGUGGUAUAAACACAGUCUCACCUGCACCACAUCCCAUAAGAAUCUCUGCCUCAAUUAGGUUCCUCUGCAGAGUAGUCACUUUAAGUUGGGUUCCGUUGCAUAACUUGGGUGGAGUCAAGUUCCACAGAAGCACGAUUGGAACACUAACUUUCAGUGCAAUGCUGUGUGCUGGAAGUCCAGCUGCACUAAGUCAUACGUCCCAACUGUCCCGUUUUUGGUGGGACAGUCCCGUUUUUCACAGAUUGUCCCGCUGUCCCACACGCAGGCUGCUGUGUCCCGCGGUGGGGGGGGAGGGCAUUUGGGAGACUCUCUCUUGCAUCAGCAUCUAUUUUCUGGCAGAGAGUGACCGGUAGCAUGGCCAGCAGCUCACAGAGUGCCAUUCAUGCCCCCAUAGUAAUAAAAACGAGGAUGUGGCUCGCGAUUGCGGCAUUUGCCACAAGGCCAUGCCCCCUUACAGCGAGGCCAAGCCCCCUAAUUUCGGGAGUGCACAUCCGGCGCGCAAAGAUGUCCCUUUUCAAGCAGUCAUAAAGUUGGGAGGUAUGACUACGUUCAGAAAUUCCAAGCAUAUCGUAAUUUUGGACUUGAGGAGCCUGCACCCUGCACACGUGGGUGUCAAGCGUCUGGUUUUACUUGAUUGCUCCUCUCCCUGAUGUCACAUCGAGAUCUAACACAACUCAGUUUCUUCCUAGGCCACUAAGAUAUACAAUAGUAAAAAACGCCAUCCAAAUUCAUCCAGUAGUUUUUGCUUGAUGCAGGAACGUACAGACAGAAACAGUCCCUAGAAGUAUAGUUCUCUUUCUCUGCACCUUGUUAUCUAUAGUUUUAUUAUAAUGUAUAGAUAACAAGGUACAGAGAAAGAGAAACAAAGAAAAAAUAGAGAGGAGAAAACCAAAUAAAGAGGGAAAGGGGGAAGGGGGGAGUUGGCCGAAAAUAUAACACUAGAGAUGAAGAGGAACAAAGAAAGAGAGAGAAAAACAAAGUGAUGGUUCAGAACAAGAGGUCAGAUACAAUAAGCCACAUGUGGAAUGGUGGCUGGAAAAUGGUCUAGCAUAGGCAUACACCAAGGGCCCCACACCCAGAUGAAUUGUGGUAACCUGUAGUGGAGGUAGGUUGGGAUUUUCUCCAUUGCAUCCAAGUGCCACAUUCUAUUGAAAAUUAUAGAGAGAGGGGGAGGGCAGGGUUUCACUAAAGGUAAGCCACAAGACAUUUGUCCUUGCAUAUGUCCAAGGGUCAAAGGGAAGACCCAACAGAAAGGACCAAGGGGGAUUUAAUACAGCACUCAAAAGUGUUUUGCCUGCAAGUCUCCAAGAGAAAUGUAGCCAGCAUCCCCCAACACAUCCACCACAACCCUGAUACCUCUAGAGAACCAGGAGAGGGAUAAGCCAGAGGAAAUUCUGUGUUAUCCCAUAACAGAGUAAGAGAAGAUAGUUUGCAAGAUAGUUUGUAAUACUUUGCACAGAGUUCCCAAAUGGAACAGGUAAAGCGAACAGCUGGAGGGGAGAAGCCAGAGGGGGCAGAAAUACAUAGAAGUAAAGACAAGGUAGCCACUUUACAAGUUGACAUUACAAUGCAAUGUGGGCGACUUACAGAAGCAGACCAUAAAACAGCUUGACUAAAGUGGGUAGCGAAAUAAUACAACCAAAUACCCGGUAUUCCACAACCACCAUUUGUGGUAGCCCUAUGUAAUUUGGCAAAGCUAGUUCUAGGCAUUUUAAACUGUUCAAACCAGGUAUGAAUCUGGGCAAGGACAGAAUCUGGAACUCAUACAGGGAAAGUCUGAAGCAGGCAGUAGAGACUUGGCAGGAUAUUGGACCACAAUGCAUCUGAACCAUGAAAUGAUAUGACCACGCCAUUGAAAUAGAACUGCUUUAAUAGUAGGGAGCACCGCAGAGUAAAUUUCUUUAUAAAGUGAGUCAUAAUGACGGGUAAGAAAAACACAUACUGUACACAACAAUUAUUUUUAUUUUUUUAUAACUUUUUAUUAGGCAGAUCACGAAAAUAUACAUCAUACAGAUAGCAAAAACAUUUGAACAUCAAAAUGAAGGCCGUAAAGGUGAUCCAAUUUUGCGAGGAGGAGAGUGAGCAGAAUGUUACUUCUCAAAGCCACUAACAAAAGGAGAUGAAAGAGAAUCAUUGCACAGAGCUGGGAGACUUGCUUUAUACCCCUGGCUGGAUGGUUAUUGGCCAUGGCAAUCAGCUGAUGGCAGAGUGGCUCUGGAUUGGAUCCACACUUGUCAGCUGACCUGGACUGUCAUGGCUGCACAAAGUCCUGGGCUUGGAGGGAAACUCCAGUGUUGUGGGACCACAUGGAGGCAAUAAUGGCCGCAGGCUCUGAGAGCACAGGGAGCUGUAUCUGGUGACCACUGGAGUCAGAGAGGCAUGCAGUAUAAUGAAAGCAUGGACAAUCCUCAAUGACUGCUGUGUAGGCACAACAUGGGGAGACUUGCUGAAUUCAGUAUUCACACAGAAGGUUAAUCAACACAGGUGCAGCUCGUUAGCAACUCUUACCCUCCAGACAGAGAACUCAGCACUCAGGGAACUCAUGGUACUGGUGAGCUGUUUAUCCCAGUGAGCAGAAAACACACAGGAUCCAGGACAGGUGGCAGAGGUAAUUCACUAAACGAUAUGAAUUUAGACAUGAUUGUGACACGACAGUGCUUUGUUGUUCAUUCCCUGUAUGCAGCCUGCAAUCCUGCUCCUGGUUAUUCUAGUCUUCAGAGCUAUCUCCAUCCAUAGCACCGCCUAGCUCCAACAGCUAUCUUAAGUAGCUGUACCGCUGCUGUUAUCGGUUCAGCCCGUUGUUCCCAGGUAGCUGUCCUGCUGUGUAUCUUUGCUCAUCAGUCAAUCCCGGUGUUCUGCCCUGCUCAUCGGUCAAUCCUGGUGUUUAGCUGAGUAUCUCUGCUCAUUGAUCAAUCCCGGUAUUCUGCCCUGCUCAUCGGUCAAUCCCAAUGCUCGGCUGUGUCCUGCUCUGAUCAUCGCUAAUGGUCUACUGAGUAGCUGGCCUGCAUUCUCCCAGUACUCAGCUAUCCUGCAUAGCUGGCCGGCAUUCUCCCAGCUCAUCGCUAAUGGUCUACUGAGUUGCUGGCCUGCAAUCUCCCAGUACUCAGCUAUCAUGCAUAGCUGGCCUGCAUUCACCCGGCUCAUCGCUAAUGGUCUACUGAGUAGCUGGCCUGCAUUCUCCCAGUACUCUGGUAUACUGCAUAGCUGGCCUGCAUUCUCCCAGCUAAUCGCUGACGGUCUGUGCAAGGUAACUCCAUGUAACCGAGUAGCUGGCCUGCGUUUUCCCAGCUCUCUGGUAUUCUGCAUUCUCCCAGCUACUUGCUUUCAUUUAUAGUCUCUCAUCUGUUGGUAACAAUACAGUUUAUACCUAUUGUUCCGUUUAUUGUGCAUGAUUAAAUAUCAUAUAAAACCUGA